GACGAACGCUGGCGGCGUGCCUAAUACAUGCAAGUAGGACGCAGUUGCGAACUGGUGAGUAACGCGUAGGUAACUACCUAUUAGAGGGGGCUAACUAUUGGAAACGAUAGGUAAUACCGCAUCCUAGUAGAUGUACCUGCGUUGUAUUAGAUAGUAGGUAGGGUAAUGGCCUAACUAGGACACGCUACAUAGCCGACCUGAGAGCGUGUGCGGCGACACUGGUCCUGCGACACUGCCCAUACUCCUCCGGGAUGCAGCAGUAGUGAAUCGUCGGCAAUGGGGGGAACCUUGACCGAGCAACGCAGCGUGAGUGAAGAAGGUUUUCGGAUCGUAAAGCUCGGUUGUUAAGGAAGCGGUACCUAAUCAGAAAGCCACGGCUAACUACGUGCCAGCAGCCGCGGUAAUAC
rnacentral:rRNA from 1 species